rnacentral:rRNA from 1 species
UACGAAGGGGGCUAGCGUUGUUCGGAAUUACUGGGCGUAAAGCGCGCGUAGGCGGUGAUCUAUGUCAGGGGCGAAAUCCCGGGGCUCAACUCCGGAAUUGCCUUUGAAACGGGAUCGCUAGAGUCCGAGAGAGGAUGGCGGAAUUCCUAGUGUAGAGGUGAAAUUCGUAGAUAUUAGGAAGAACACCGGUGGCGAAGGCGGCCAUCUGGCUCGGUACUGACGCUCAGGCGCGAAAGCGUGGGGAGCAAACAGG